ensembl:rRNA 5S_rRNA 5S ribosomal RNA
GUCUAUGGCCAUACCACCCUCAAUGUGCCUGAUCUCGUCUGAUCUCGGAAGCUAAGCAAGGUGGGGCCUGGUUAGUCCUUGGAUGGGAGAAUAUAUUUCUAAAAAUCACAGCUAAUGAUA